rnacentral:rRNA from 1 species
UACGUAGGGCGCAAGCGUUGUCCGGAAUUAUUGGGCGUAAAGAGCUCGUAGGCGGUUUGUCGCGUCUGCUGUGAAAACCCGAGGCUCAACCUCGGGCCUGCAGUGGGUACGGGCAGACUAGAGUGUGGUAGGGGGAGACUGGAAUUCCUGGUGUAGCGGUGGAAUGCGCAGAUAUCAGGAGGAACACCGAUGGCGAAGGCAGGUCUCUGGGCCACAACUGACGCUGGAG